rnacentral:lncRNA from 10 species
GCCGGCCGAGACUUCUGGAUGGCGGCGGCCGCGGCUCCGCCCCGGGUUCCCACCGCCUGAAGGGCGAGACAAGCCCGACCUGCUACAGGUUGCUCCUUGAGGGCAGGACAGUUCUUAUGGCUUUAUCCGUUGCGUAAGCACAGAGAGGUCUGCGAGGUCAAAACUAUUGUCAUGAUAGCAAGAUGCCUGUCUUUUUCAUUUAUUCUCACGGUGUGCAGAGGCUACAUGAUGUGUGAUGACAUCCUCAUUGAUGUUAAUGAAUGGUGCUAUACUUGAAUUUUCUAAGGUGUCAUUAGGUAGGUUUAGAUGAGGUCUUGCUGUGUUGCCCAGGCUAUUCACAGCUGCCAUCAUAGUGAACUACAGCCUGAAACUCCUGGGUUCAAGAGAUCCUUCUGCCUCAGCCUCCUGAGUAGCUGGAACUAUAGGCAUGCGCCACCAAGCCUGGGCUUUUAAAAAAAUUUUAAAAAGAAUUUUGAGACAGGAUCUUGCCAUGUUGCUCAGGCUAGUCUUCAACUCCUAGCCCUGAGUGAUCUUGCUUUGGGCCUCUCAAAAUGUUGAGUUAAUAGGCGUGAGCCACCAUACCCAGCCAAAA